GUUCUGAGCAUUCGGGUAGGCCCCCAUAACUGACUGACCUGACGUAGGUCCACUUGUGUCACUUUUUAUCAUUUUUGCCUUAUCUGAUGCCAAAUAAUCAUCUGCAUGUCGUUUUUUGGAUGCGGACAUGCUUUUCUGACGUAAAAAAAGUAUGUUGUGCCGAUUGCCUGCCUUUUCAAUGGACUGUGCAUCUCCAAAGAGAUCUAAAAACUCCAAAAAU
rnacentral:misc_RNA from 1 species